rnacentral:misc_RNA from 1 species
GUUGAAGAACGCAGCGAAAUGCGAUACGUAAUGUGAAUUGCAAAUUCAGUGAAUCAUCGAGUCUUUGAACGCACAUUGCGCCCCCUGGUAUUCCGGGGGGCAUGCCUGUCCGAGCGUCAUUGCUGCCCUCAAGCACGGCUUGUGUGUUGGGCCCCGUCCUCCGAUCCCGGGGGACGGGCCCGAAAGGCAGCGGCGGCACCGCGUCCGGUCCUCGAGCGUAUGGGGCUUUGUCACCCGCUCUGUAGGCCCGGCCGGCGCUUGCCGAUCAACCCAAAUUUUUAUCCAGGUUGACCUCGGAUCAGGUAGGGAUACCCGCUGAACUUAAGCAUAUCAAUAAGCGGAGGA